rnacentral:rRNA from 1 species
UACGGAGGGGGGCUAGCGUUGUUCGGAAUUACUGGGCGUAAAGCGCACGUAGGCGGCUUUGUAAGUUAGAGGUGAAAGCCCCAGGGCUUAACCCUGGAAUUGCCUUUAAGACUGCAUCGCUAGAAUCGUGGAGAGGUAAGUGGAAUUCCGAGUGUAGAGGUGAAAUUCGUAGAUAUUCGGAAGAACACCAGUGGCGAAGGCGACUUACUGGACACGUAUUGACGCUGAGGUGCGAAAAGCGUGGGGGAGCAAACAGG